rnacentral:rRNA from 1 species
UGCAAGUCGAGCGGACAGAAGGGAGCUUGCUCCCGGAUGUUAGCGGCGGACGGGAGAGUAACACGUGGGUAACCUGCCUGUAAGACUGGGAUAACUCCGGGAAACCGGAGCUAAUACCGGAUAGUUCCUUGAACCGCAUGGUUCAAGGAUGAAAGACGGUUUCGGCUGUCACUUACAGAUGGACCCGCGGCGCAUUAGCUAGUUGGUGGGGUAAUGGCUCACCAAGGCGACGAUGCGUAGCCGACCUGAGAGGGUGAUCGGCCACACUGGGACUGAGACACGGCCCAGACUCCUACGGGAGGCAGCAGUAGGGAAUCUUCCGCAAUGGACGAAAGUCUGACGGAGCAACGCCGCGUGAGUGAUGAAGGUUUUCGGAUCGUAAAGCUCUGUUGUUAGGGAAGAACAAGUGCGAGAGUAACUGCUCGCACCUUGACGGUACCUAACCAGAAAGCCACGGCUAACUACGUGCCAGCAGCCGCGGUAAUACGUAGGUGGCAAGCGUUGUCCGGAAUUAUUGGGCGUAAAGGGCUCGCAGGCGGUUUCUUAAGUCUGAUGUGAAAGCCCCCGGCUCAACCGGGGAGGGUCAUUGGAAACUGGGAAACUUGAGUGCAGAAGAGGAGAGUGGAAUUCCACGUGUAGCGGUGAAAUGCGUAGAGAUGUGGAGGAACACCAGUGGCGAAGGCGACUCUCUGGUCUGUAACUGACGCUGAGGAGCGAAAGCGUGGGGAGCGAACAGGAUUAGAUACCCUGGUAGUCCACGCCGUAAACGAUGAGUGCUAAGUGUUAGGGGGUUUCCGCCCCUUAGUGCUGCAGCUAACGCAUUAAGCACUCCGCCUGGGGAGUACGGUCGCAAGACUGAAACUCAAAGGAAUUGACGGGGGCCCGCACAAGCGGUGGAGCAUGUGGUUUAAUUCGAAGCAACGCGAAGAACCUUACCAGGUCUUGACAUCCUCUGACAACCCUAGAGAUAGGGCUUUCCCUUCGGGGACAGAGUGACAGGUGGUGCAUGGUUGUCGUCAGCUCGUGUCGUGAGAUGUUGGGUUAAGUCCCGCAACGAGCGCAACCCUUGAUCUUAGUUGCCAGCAUUCAGUUGGGCACUCUAAGGUGACUGCCGGUGACAAACCGGAGGAAGGUGGGGAUGACGUCAAAUCAUCAUGCCCCUUAUGACCUGGGCUACACACGUGCUACAAUGGACAGAACAAAGGGCUGCAAGACCGCAAGGUUUAGCCAAUCCCAUAAAUCUGUUCUCAGUUCGGAUCGCAGUCUGCAACUCGACUGCGUGAAGCUGGAAUCGCUAGUAAUCGCGGAUCAGCAUGC